rnacentral:rRNA from 1 species
UACGUAGGGGGCAAGCGUUGUCCGGAUUCAUUGGGCGUAAAGAGCGUGUAGGCGGCCAGGUAGGUCGGUUGUGAAAACUGGAGGCUCAACCUUCAGACGUCGACCGAAACCAUCUGGCUAGAGUCCGGGAGAGGAGAGUGGAAUUCCUGGUGUAGCGGUGAAAUGCGCAGAUAUCAGGAAGAACACCCGUGGCGAAAGCGGCUCUCUGGGACGGUACUGACGCUGAGACGCGAAAGCGUGGGGAGCAAACAGG